AGAAACAUCUUCAUUUCCCUUUCCUGAUGGAAUCCCAGUUCUGGUCUGCAAGAGAUGGUGGUGUUCUUCAAGCUCUUCAAGGAUUUUGGGGUUCCAACUUCGGGAGCUGAAUAUUGGUUAGUUUGAGGAAGCCAUGUGAUUGAAGAUUUGAGAAAUACCAAGGCCAAAGAACACUAUGGAGUUUGCAAACAGCAACUCGAAGUGUUGGUCUGAAACUCGGCUUUCUAUGAGAUGUGUUCUAUGGGACACCUAUUCUGACAUCAUCUCUAAAAGCAAAUAGAAAACCCAUUGCAAACUCUUUCCAAGUUGGAGAUUUCAGCGUGCCUUUUACAUUCAGAGAAGUUCCAGCAAUGUAUCAUUUCUGUUUCAACACAUGCUAGUCAUGCCUUGCUCUAAGCUACCUGAACCACUGUGCCUGGGCUCCUGCCUCCGACCUGCUUCCUGCUGUCCACAACCUGUGUGAACAGUCCUUUUCAUGGUGGUAUUACCUUAGUUAAGUUUCACAACUUAUACGUGACGCAACAACCAGCAUGAUCAACUUUCAACAAAUGAGGUAUCUGACAGAGUGACUUGUCUAUGGUUGCACACAACCAGUGAAUGGUUGAAACAGGAGAUCUGGACUCAGAGCUGAGGUUCUACAUCCCACCAGGUAUCUGAGGAAAUGUCUGUGUAGACAUCAUUCCCAAGUUGAAGAUGUCCUCUGUAGAUCUAUUUGAAAGUUACCAAGAUGUCUAACCAUGGAGAAUAUUACAUAAAUGUGAAUACAUUAAAUUGUGAAGAAUCUCAGUAACAACGUGGAUGUUGGAUAACAAGCAUCCUCUUUCCCAGUGCCAGCAAUGACAGCUAUCCAGAAACAUCUUCACAGGCACAGUAACACUAGGCUGACCAAUUAGCAUCUAAUCUUUCUGUGGACCUGGUUAAUUUCCCAUUCUUACAUUUUUCUUGUAGGUAUAUAAUCAUACUGAUACAUAAAUGGGGGAGUUAUCUGAGAUGCUCAAAACACAAAGUUGGAUAUAUCUGUGGCAUUAAUAAUUUUCACAUCAUAAAGAAGUAAGUUGCCAGAAAGUAUGGCUGCUUUUCCCCACUGCAUGACAUGGGUUUCCACGGAAAAUGGGAAAGGGAAGAGGAAAGGAAGUGCCUUCAGGAAACUCCACUACUGGGGCUCCUCCAUUGCUAAUAGCUUCAGUUAGCUUAAACCAGACAUUGCUUUGUUACAGACGGCCUAUUACUAUUUCAGUCAAAUGGUCUCUUUUAUAUGAUCCCAUAGAUAAUUAAGGAAAAAAAAGUGUGAGAUAUGCCUGUGUUUUAUAGCCCCAGCACACUGCACUGGAACACAAUGGAUCUUUUAAUUAUUUUAUUAUGGCAGGAUUUCUAAAGUUUUUAUGAUGUAAAUUAAAGUGAAAUAAAGCAAAAACUGCUUUUGUGUUUAACCUGACAUUUGAUUGUGUGAUAUGCCUUUUCUGUGCAUUUGGAUACCCUGAUGCAAGUUUUUCAUCUCUUGUUUUUCUAACUUUGAUGUGUUUUUUUGUGCCAGAAACUUUUGUGACUUUGAAUCUGUUUUUAAAGAAUACAGCAUAAAUUAAUUAAAAUACCCUUUUUAU